UACGUAGGGGGCAAGCGUUGUCCGGAUUUAUUGGGCGUAAAGGGUGCGUAGGCGGCGCGGUGAGUCGGGUGUGAAAUCUCGGAGCUUAACUCCGAAACUGCAUUCGAUACUGCCGUGCUUGAGGACUGGAGAGGAGACUGGAAUUUACGGUGUAGCGGUGAAAUGCGUAGAUAUCGUAAGGAAGACCAGUGGCGAAGGCGGGUCUCUGGACAGUUCCUGACGCUGAGGCACGAAGGUCAGGGGAGCAAACGGG
rnacentral:rRNA from 1 species